GAUAAUUCCCACAGUAAAACACACGAACUCCCAAACAGCAUACGUAGUCAGAAUAAGGGUACAAAGAUGAACUGUUUAUUGGCACACAAAGAACCUUCUUUUAUGCAGGUCCCCAUGCAAGGGGACAUCCCACUGGGUGGGACACAGUACAACCAAUCACACAAUGGUUACAUCCCACACAUCCCCUCCCCUUAGCUUGAGAGGUAACCCAAUUAUCCAUAGAUUUUAAAACACACUUUUUACCCAACUUUCAUAACUCCAAAACCAUACAUCCAAUAUUAAUAAAAGUAACAUAUUAUUAAUCAGCACAUCCCAAAUACAAACAUACCCCAAAAUCAUGCAAAUCCUUCCAUUAGUUCAAAAGUUUAGUUGUGACCAAAGGAAGCAUGGCUUUUCUGCCCAAACCAGUUCCCACUGGUCUGGC